rnacentral:lncRNA from 1 species
CCCCGCCCUCUUCUCCCCUCCUCCCCCCGUCCCCGUCCCCGUCCCCGUCGGUCUGUCUGUCGGUCGGCGGGUCCCUCCCCGGGGCGGGGCCGGGCCGCUGUCAGCUUAGGUUGAGGCCCCCCUGCGUGUGUCUAUAACUUUGUGUUGCUGCCGCCGCGGCCGCUGGUUGGUAGGAAGAGGAAUGUGGAAGAAGAAGGCGGCGUUGUCGGCGUUGUCGGGGAGGGUGGCAGCCGGCGGGCAGUUGGGCGGGCGGGGAGCGGGCGGGGAGCGGCCGGCAGCCGGCGGCCCUCGGUAGGCCGACCCCUGGCGCGCCCGGCUCGCAGGACCUGCGGGUCUUCGCCUUCUCCGCCGCCCCCCGGGAGGGAAGCCGCUGAGGGUUCCCGGAGGAUCUGAGCGAAGGGAAACGGCUGUCAAGAUGGCAGCAGUAGGAGCAGCGUCGGAG